rnacentral:tRNA from 1 species
AAAUAUGAAGUAAUUCAUUACAUAUUAGUUUCGACCUAAUUAUAAGUUAUUCAUAUAACCAUAUUUA